AAAUGAAUUGACGGGGGCCCGCACAAGCGGUGGAUGAUGUGGAUUAAUUCGAUGCAACGCGAAAAACCUUACCUACGCUUGACAUGUCCGAGAUCCCGAAGAGAUUUGGGAGUGCUCGAAAGAGAAUCGGAACACAGGUGCUGCAUGGCUGUCGUCAGCUCGUGUCGUGAGAUGUUGGGUUAAGUCCCGCAACGAGCGCAACCCUUGUCAUUAGUUGCUACAUUAAGUUGGGCACUCUAAUGAGACUGCCGGUGACAAACCGGAGGAAGGUGGGGAUGACGUCAAGUCCUCAUGGCCCUUAUGCGUAGGGCUUCACACGUCAUACAAUGGUCGGUACAGAGGGUCGCCAACCCGCGAGGGGGAGCCAAUCUCAGAAAGCCGAUCGUAGUCCGGAUCGCAGUCUGCAACUCGACUGCGUGAAGUCGGAAUCGCUAGUAAUCGCGGAUCAGCAUGUCGCGGUGAAUACGUUCCCGGGCCUUGCACACACCGCCCGU
rnacentral:rRNA from 1 species